GUUCUGGCUCCCAAGGGGCCAUCAGAGGUUUCCCGGGGCUAAGCGUGAAACCAUUGAGGAUUUUCACAGUUGCAAACUGAGCAGAGCCUGCUGCACUAUGUGAAGCCUCGUGGAUGCUCGAAGACUGGCCUAAUCAGAAGGAGGAGGCAAGUGAGAUCACAGACAAAACUGCCAGGGAUGGAAGUAUCUGGGUGAGGAGGAUGCAGAAAAUGGAUGCAGGAAAGCAAGAAAAGAAAGUGGAAGAGGGAGAUGUUGAGAAGACUAUAUACCUGCAUCGGAUCAUCCUAAGGCCUCACAGCUUACAGAAGAAAUCAAGAUGAGCACAACUCCCUGGUCCGUGAGGGAGAAGGGGUCGUGGAAGAGGCAGUUGGCAGAUGUGUAUCGGGAGGGCUGAGCCGGCAGCAAGAGAUGUGUCUGGUGUCUUUCUAAGAAGAAGAGACUAGGACACAGAUACACGCAGAGGAAAGGCCAUGUGAGGACACAGGGAGAAGGUGGUCAUCUACAAGCCAAAGAGAGAGGCCUCAGAAGAAGCCAACCCUGUCGGCACCCUGAUCUUGGACUUCCAGCCUCUAGAACUGUGAGAAAAUAAAUUUCUGUUGUUUCAACCACCCAAUCUGUGGUAUUUUGUUAUGGCAGCCCUAGCAUACUAAUAUGUGGGAGACAGGAGUCAGAGAUGAUGCCCUGGGGUGGAGUCUCUUUUCCGUUGUGGUUACGAAAGUUUGGGAGUUGGGUAUUUUCUUCAUAAUGCUCAGAAGCACCAAGAGAAGUUGUCCUGCUUGCUUUUGCUAUGAAGAGUUUCCAGUCUACUAUGCACCUCUAGCAGUGCCAGAAGGCCGUGGGGAAGGAGGAAGACACAGACAUGUGCAGUUGCACAGGGAGGAACAACCCCGCCAUGCUAGCACCACGCUGAGAUGCAUAGCCCACUGUUCUGUUUUUCGGGAGGUCCUCCUUCCCUCCUUUCCUGAAUCCCUUUUGUUGUCAUUUCACCGGCAUUUCCCCAAGCCAAAUGGAUUUAGGUACA